AUGCAAACUUUUCUGAUAUGGCAUACAAAUAAGAAUAUAUUUCUUUUGUUUCUCUUGAUUUUAGGAAGCUUCUGGAAUUCACCAGGACAAAUGAAGAAGGGCCUCAAGACAACUUUGGACUAGUAGCUGUGAUCAAAGUUAAUCUUUCCUGUAGCAAGUGGAACUUGUGCUAGUCACCAGAGUCCAAUGGCAAAAGAUAAGUCAAGGUGUGUGGCAAUAGCCCAGGAUGAACCAAAGGCCUUGGCAUCUUCUGUGUCUGACCAAACUUUUAAGUGCUCCACAGUGCCUACUUCAGCUGCCUUCAUGGAUUCUGGAAUAGAUUGUUCUCAUCUAGGAAAAUGAAGCCGCCGAGGGUUGCUAGGUGUGCUAUGCAAAGUCACUAAGUUCAGAGUGGGUACAUAGAGUUCAGCUCGAGAAGCCAGGACUGCUAAAUCAUGGCCAGAAAUUGCUGCCAGUGGGCUCUUAUGGAACAGGAAUGCUCUUUGGACCCUAGCACUUGAUGAGGACCUGCAUUAUAAUGAGCUGGUGAGUAGAAUUCCUCUUCUGCUGUUUCUGUUAUAUUACAUGAUGCUGCUAUAGAUGUUAGGAACUGGAAUGAAUGGACCCAUUUAAAGACAGGGAG
rnacentral:lncRNA from 1 species